UUACGUUCUCAAGCAGCGUUCAUUGAGCACAGGCGCCUCAAACGCGCAUAUAAAUGGAAUAUGCGCGUGGUGAUUACUUAGAUUCACGAAAAAGAACGAAGCUGUAAUAAACAAAAGUAUGUAAGAGGAGGAAGAGGAAGACAGACCGGAACGACCGAAGUGGUCACUGUUCUUCGGGGACUGCGUCAAAGGCGCCAUGAGGUCGGCUGCGAUGUUACUAAUAUUUUUUCUCAUCAGCAUAGUGACCAGCGGAGCUUAUGAGUAUAAAGUGCAUCCGUGCAAACGCAUGCUCAACUAUCCAGAGUGCAAGAAACCCCGAGUGAAGUACGUGUACAAGGAAAAAUUAUCUUCCUGCAAACCAGUCAUCUACAGCGGAUGCGAACCUAGCGAGAAGUUCAAGUACUUCUCGUCGCUGUCGGGCUGCGAGAAAGAAUGCGUCGGCAAAGAAGACAUCACAGUGAUCGUUUAGGCUGGUGUCCGCGUACCUCAUUUUCUGUGUGAUCGCGGAACACAACAACGUUACUUUCUUCCCGGACUCUGCAAGACUGUCCCGGUAAGGCCCCGCCAAAAAUAAAGUUGGCUGACGGUCA